UUCCCCCAAGCCAGCAGAACAUCCAGUCAUGGAUAAAAAUGGGCUGGUUCAGAAGGCCAAACUGGCCGAGGAGGCUGAGCGAUAUGAUGACAUGGCAGCCUGCAUGAAGUCUGUAAUUGAGCCAGGAGCUGAAUUAUCCAAUGAGGAGAGGAAUCUUCUCUCAGUUGCUUAUAAAAAUGUUGUAGGAGCCCGUAGGUCAUCUUGGAGGGUCGUCUCAAGUAUUGAACAAAAGACGGAAGGUGCUGAGAAAAAACAGCAGAUGGCUCGAGAACACAGAGAGAAAAUUGAGACGGAGCUAAGAGAUGUCUCCGAUGAUGUACUGUCUCUUUUGGAAAAGUUCUUAAUCCCCACAAGCAGAGAGCAAAGUCUUCUAUUUGAAAAUGAAAGAUUACUAUCGUACUUGGCUGAGGUUGCCACUGGUGAUGACAGGAAAGGGAUUGUGGAUCAGUCACAACAAGCAUACCAAGAAGUUUUUGAAAUCAGCAAAAAGGAAAUGCAACCAACACAUCCUAUCAGACUGGGACUGGCCCUUAACUUCUCUGUGUUCUAUUAUGAGAUUCUGAAAUCCCCAGAGAAAGUCUGCUCUCUUGCAAAGACAGCUUUUGAUGAAGCCAUUGCUGAACUUGAUACAUUAAGUGAAGAGUCAUACAAAGACAGCAGGCUAAUAAUGUAAUUACUGAGAGACAACUUGACAUUGUGGACAUCGGAUACCCAAGGAGAUGAAGCUGAAGCAGGAGAAGGAGGGGAAAAUUAACCAGCCUUCCAACUUUUGUCUGCCUCAUUCUAAAAUUUACACAGUAGACCAUUUUCAUCCAUGCUGUCCCACAAAUAGUUUUUUGUUUACGAUUUAUGACAGGUUUAUGUUACUUCUAUUUGAAUUUCUAUAUUUCCCAUGUGGUUUUUAUGUUUAAUAUUAGGGGAGUAGAGCCAGUUAACAUUUAGGGAAUUAUCUGUUUUCAUCUUGAGGCGGCCAAUAUGGGGAUGUGGAAUUUUUAUACAAGUUAUAAAUGUUUGGCAUAGUACUUUUGGUACAUUGUGGCUUCACAAGGGCCAGUGUAAAACAGCUUCCAUGUCUAAGCAAAGAAAAUUGCCUACAUAUUGGUUUGUCCUGGUGCGGAAUAAAAGGGAUCAUUGGUUCCAGUCACAGGGGUAGUAAUUGUGGGUACUUUAAGGUUUGGAGCAUUUAGAAGGCUGUGGUAGAAACAUACCCCAUGGAUACCACAGGUUAAACCAUGUGUAUCUGUGGAACACUCAAUCUCAACGUGCACACCUUUGACUACAGCUGCAGAAGUGUUCCUUUAGACAAAGUUGUGACCCAUUGUACUCUGGAUAAGGGCAGCAAUGGUUCACAUUCCAUUAUUUGUAAAGUUACCUGCUGUUAGCUUUCAUUAUUUUUGCUCCACUCAUUUUAUUUGUAUUUAAGUGUUUCAGGUAACCUAAGAACAAAUGUAAAAGUAAAGAUGCAGUAAAAAUGAAUGGCUUGGUAUUCAUUACUUCGUGUAUAUCAAGCACAGCAGUAAAACAAAAACCCAUGUAUUUAACUGUUUUUUAGGUUUUUUGCUUUUGUGAUUUUUUUUUUUGAUAUUUGCCUAACAUGCAUGUGCUAUAAAAAUAGUUAACAGGGAAAUAACUUGAGAUGAUGGCUAGCUUUGUUUAAUGCCUUAUGAAAUUUUCAUGAACAAUCUAAGCAUAAUUGUUAAGAACACGUGUAUUAAAUUCAUGUAAGUGGAAUAAAAGUUUUAUGAAUGCACUUUUCAACUACUUUCUCUACAGUUUUUCAUAUAAAUUAGUCUUUUGGUUUUGAAACUUCUCUAAAGGAAAUUGUACAUUCUUUGAAAUUUAUUCCUUAUUCCCUCUUGGCAGCUAAUGGGCUUUUACCAAGUUUAAACACAAAAUUUAUCAUAACAACAAAAAUACUACUAAUAUAACUGCUGUUUCCAUGUCCCAUUAUCCCCUCUCUUCCUCUCCACCCUGAAAAAAAUGAGUUCCUAUUUUUUCUGGGAGAGGGGGAGAUUGAUUGGAAAACAAUGUAAUGUGUUCAAUUUAAAAUUUUGGUAUAUGGCAUUUUCUAACUUAGGAAGCCACAAUGUUCUUGGCCCAUCAUGACAGCAUUAACUAUAAGUUUUGUGCUUCCAAAUCACUUUCUGGUUUUUAAGAAUUUCUUGAUACUCUUACAGCCUGCCUUUGAUUUUGAUCCUUUAUUCUAUUUGUCAGGUGCACAAGAUUACCUUCGUUUUUUAGCCUUCUGUCUUGUCACCAACCAUUCUUACUUGGUGGCCAUGUACUUGGGAAAAGGCCGCAUGAUCUUUCUGGCUCCACUCAAUGUCUAAGGCACCCUGCUUCCUUUGCUUGCACCCCACAGAUUAUUUUCCUCAUCCUAUUUACUGCAGUAAAUCUCUCUUUAGUUGAUGAGAUUGUGUUUAUCUCCCUUUAAAACCCUACCUAUCCUGAAUGGUCUGUCAUUGUCUGCCUUUAAAAUCCUUCCUCUUUCUUCUUCCUCUCUUCUCUAAAUAAUGAUGGGGCUAAGUUAUACCCAAAGCUCACUUUAACAAAAUAUUUCCUCAGUACUUUGCAGAAAACA